ACAGUCACACUAAUUGUGACUGGCAAGGGCCGGGAGGGAUAUAAAAAGGGCGCCGGUGGCCCAUACAGAUUCACUCUGCGGCCGACGGCGAGCGGAGAAGGUAAGGCUUACGCAUUGGUGACGCCCGCCGCCACCGCCGCCGGCCGCGACGACGACGCCGAACGACGACGCAGAAGUCCCCGGCAUCCUACGGGCGGACGAGCCCCAUGCAGCACGAACUCUAUCUAUCUAUGUACACGAUAAUUCUUAAUAAACGCAUACCGAUUCGAUUUCACUGAA